CCUACGUGUGGCAGCAGUGAGGAAUAUUGGUCAAUGGACGAGAGUCUGAACCAGCCAAGUAGCGUGAAGGAUGACUGCCCUAUGGGUUGUAAACUUCUUUUAUAAAGGAAUAAAACGAGGCACGUGUGCCUUUUUGCAUGUACUUUAUGAAUAAGGAUCGGCUAACUCCGUGCCAGCAGCCGCGGUAAUACGGAGGAUCCGAGCGUUAUCCGGAUUUAUUGGGUUUAAAGGGAGCGUAGAUGGGUUGUUAAGUCAGUUGUGAAAGUUUGCGGCUCAACCGGAAAAUUGCAAUUAAUACUGGCAGUCUUGAGUACAAUUGAGGUAGGCGGAAUUCGUGGUGUAGCGGUGAAAUGCUUAGAUAUCGCGCAGAACCCCGAUUGCGAAGGCAGCGUACCGGCUCCACACUGACGCUGAGGCACGAAAGCGUGGGUAGCGAACAGGAUUAGAUACCCUUGUAGUC
rnacentral:rRNA from 1 species